UACGUAGGGCGCAAGCGUUAUCCGGAAUUAUUGGGCGUAAAGAGCUCGUAGGCGGUUCGUCGCGUCGGCUGUGAAAACCCGGAGCUCAACUCCGGGCCUGCAGUCGAUACGGGCGGACUCGAGUUCGGCAGGGGAGACUGGAAUUCCUGGUGUAGCGGUGAAAUGCGUAGAUAUCGUUUGGAACGCCAAUGGUGAAAACAGACAGCUGGGAGUGUGCUGACGCUGAGACACGAAAGCCAGGGGAGCGAACGGG
rnacentral:rRNA from 1 species